rnacentral:rRNA from 1 species
AGAUGUAUAGAGGGUGAGGCCUGCCCAAUGGUUGUAUCUAAAAGCGGUUGAUAAAAGUCGACCUCGUAAGGACAAUUGAAUGGCCGCGGUAACACUGACCGUGAUAAUGUAGCGUAAUCAAUAGCCAAUUAAUUGUUGGCCAGUAUGAAUGGCGCCACGAAGGCCCCACUGUCUUAAGGAAAUUCCCAGUGAAAUUGAAUUCGUAGUGAAGAUGCUACGUCCAAUUUGUUAGACGAAAAGACCCCGUUGAGCUUUACUGGGGCACUUACACGGCCCCGGCCUUCCAAACUAGGCUUACUAUGCCUAGAGGUCGGCCGAAUUUAAAUGGGUGGUUUAGAUUAUGUGGCAGCCCCCCGUCGGGGCAGAUGAAACCCCACUCCCCCAUGUCAAAGGGGCUAACCCCCCCCCUUGGGGGGGGACAGUGUAAGUAGGACAGUUUGGUUGGGGCGACCGCCUUUUAAAGAGUAACGAAGGUGCGCUUAAGGUGCGCAAAUAAUGACUGAAGCCUGACUGCGAGGGGGACACCCCGAGCAGACACCCCCAAGCCUGCCCUAAGGGCGGCGGUGGGGUGGGCCAUAGUGACCCGUUAAUUUAGAGUGGAAUAGUUAACGAUCAACGAAUAAAAGUUACCACGGGGAUAACAGCGUAAUAUCGUUAGAGAGUUCACAUCGACGAC